GGUUUGCCCUGUUGGGCCCCGAGUGCCUCUCCCAAAUGACGGCGCAGAUCGUGGUGUAUACCGGGAGUUGUAGUUCAUGGCGCUCAGACCUGCAGGGACUGAGGGCUUCCAUAGUUCAACAGUCGCAAUCGCUGCUUCCCUCUGGACUUCAAGUCCCACAAGGCACAAAAGCUGACACAAUAGAUCACAGUUUAUAAACUAAACAGAAACAGAUUGUGCGAAUUUGGUAUGUGUGUAUCCUUUUCCCGCCACGAGUCUGUCUGACCUCUAGCUAUUCAAGAUACCUGUGUAAGAUGUCAGAAGACUGAGAGUUUUGCCUGCUCUUUGAGCCAGUGAGAACUGGAGAAUCAUCUCUUCUAACUUCAUACCUUUACUACCUCUAGUAAAAUAUUCUAUGGAAUAGUAACUGUAGAAAAAUAAUUUGUACUAUGCUGCACACACACACACACACAAAUUUUUAAAUUGUUAUGGAACAAUCAAAAGUACAGAGGAGCUUACGUCUGUUAUUCCAGUACUAAAGAGGCAGAGGCAGGAGGAUUGCCACGAGUUCGAGGCCAGCCUGGGCUACACAGUGAGUUCAAGGCUAGACCGAACUGCAUAAAGGGAACCUUAAAAAAAGCGGGAGGGAGGGCAUUUUAUUAUGGCAUGUUUAAUCUACUUUUGUUUUUGCUGUUGUUUUUGACCAAAUGCCAGAAAACACCUCCUGUCUACUCACUACUGAGUAAAAUCCAAGUAAGAAACUUUAUUAUGUAGUGUCAACCUACUUCUUUCCUUCUAACUAUAUUUUCCAAAAUUCACCUCUUUAUAGUUGCUAAGCCCAUAGUUUCCCAUUUCAAUGUCUGCACAUUCUGUUCAUCCUGCAAACCCAUUUAUCUCCAUUUCCUUUUCUUGACAACAUCGUUACCAACAUGUCCACCAUUUAGGAUACACCAUCAGCCUCCUCCUAUUUGUACUUGGCGACUUGGCACUUGUUUCUACUACACUGUAUUGUGAUUUGUCUAGCAAAUGUUUGCCACUCAUUGGAUUGAGUUCCUAAAGACUAUUGACUGUUAUAGUCUGGGAUGGAAAUUCAACAGCCAGCAGUAGACAGGUAGAUGAGGCUAAAAGAUAGAAAUCUUAUAUGAGUAGUAUGGACUAAAAGGGGCAGCUGCAUUGUUACUACCAGCUAGUUGUUAUUACCUGAGAAUUCUAGCCUAAAGGUGUCAGACCUGAUUUUCAAGAGAAACUGAACAUUUGCAUCUCUAAUAUGUACUAUCCACAUUUGUAAAUGUUCACUCAAGUGGGAUUUUGUUUUGUUUCUUCAACUCCAGACCAAAUAACAUCUGUGAGUAAAAUCCCUGGCUUCCAUUAAUCCUUGUAUUAGCAGCUAGUAGAGUAUAUGCUACAUAUAGUAAUAAUUGCUUAGAUUUCUGCCACUGUUUAUGUGCCAAGCACUUUUAUGCAUGUUAAAUAAUUCAUUUAAUCCUUGAAAUAACCCUAGAAGGUUAUCAUGUCUUUCAUUUUAUAAACGAGGAAACCAAAGUACAGAGCAGCUAGAUUACUUGGCAAGAUCAAGUAAUGGGUCUAAGAUUUGAAUUUGGGUAGCCUGCAUGCAACCUCUGGCAUAGAGUGUGGUUUUCAUGGGUGCUUUCUGUUUCUCCUCUUGAAACUGAAAUAAAGUGGGGAAGAGGAGGUACAUGUUCAAGCCUUGAUUGUUCUACUAACCAGCUGAUUAAAUCAAAACAUCUAAGCUUUUGUCAGUUGUAAAUUGAGAUAUCUGCAUAAAUUCUCCUCUAGAUCUAAAAUUCUCGUCAUUAAAUUUAUGUUGAAGGUAGACAAAAAUACUAAGAGAUUAUCUGGGAGUGGUGGUAUAUGCCUGUAAUCCUAACAUUCAGAGGCCAAGGAAGGGAGGAUCACUUGAGACCAGGAGUUCAAGACUACGCCGAAAUUUAUGAAAUUGGUCCGAUACCACUCACACAUAACAGGCAACAUAGCAAGACCUUGCCUCAAAAUAAUGAUGAUAGGAAUAAUGCAAUUAAGACUUACAUGUUUGUAUUUAGAUUAAGGGAGAUGUUGUUCUCUCCUACCCCCACACAGAUUUUGAAAAAAAUGUAUAGGGAAUGUCAGAGAAACUAUAUAGAGAAAAGUUAGUGAGUGCAUUUAGGAAACAAUAUUGUUGAUAUAAAAAAUUAAAUAGUAUGAAGAAAACCAAAUAAAGUAUGGUGGCACAUGCCUAUAAUCUCAGAGCUGUUAGAGGCUGGGACAGAGGAUCACAAGCUCUAGAUCCUGAGCCAUUCAGCAACUUAGUAAGACCCUGUCUCAAAAGAAAAGUGAAGUAAAUAAAUAAAAUAAAAAAGGACUGGGGAUGUAGCUCAUUGUGAAGGCACUGGAUCCAAUCCCCAGUAACACACAAAACACACACACACACACACACACACACACAGAAAGCAGAAUUAAAUUUCAAGACAUUUAAAGAGGUAGUAAUGAUGCUAUACACUUAUGUAGCACUAUUUAUACAUUUAUUGAUACCCGCUGGAACCCAUGAUCAGUUAUUAGCAAACUCCCCUAUAUCUUCUUCUCUGAACCAUCCCUUCAACUUUCUUGUCCUAAAGGAAAUGCAGCCCUUCCUUAGGACCUUGCUCCUUUGUACUCCACCUAUCAUUAAACCUUGCCUUGAGUGAAUGUAUUCCUUGAUUGUCACCCCCAGAUUGUCACCAAAGAAAUCAGAUAAUAUCUCUGUUGCUGUCACCUGUGUAUCUCCAAGGUAACUCCAUGUCUUAGUUACUUUCUUGUUGCUGAGACACAAUACCCAACACCCAAAGUUAAAAGGGGAAAGAUUUAGUGUAGUUCACAGUUUGUAGAGGUUUCAGUUCAUACUUGGCUGGCUCCAAGGCUGGAUACAUGGCAAAGAGACAUCAUAGAAAAAAAACAGUUCGUGGCAGUCAGAAAGCAGCAAAGCAGCCAAGUAGUGAAAAAGCAGCAAGUGACAACAGCAGGUUUCUUUCUGUCCCUUAUUUUCUCUCCAGGCUACCUGCUCAAGGUGCAUGGCACUCACAUCCAGAGUGCUACUCCUACUACCAUGAAUGAAUCCCAGCAUCACACUCUAGAUCCAGUCACCUCCAGAAAGUUCCACUUAUGCCUGCAUGAGGCUUUGGGGGGACGUCUAGAUACAAGCCAUAACACUCCCCCUCACUUUUUGAGAUUAUGAGCUCCUUGGCUCAGUGUCGUUCUAAUGAGAUUAUCUUUUCAUAUUUCCCAGCCAUGGUAAUAUUUAUGGAAUUGGUCCGAUACCACUCUAUUUCCUGUUGGGUAAAAUAAUUGUGGCAUUUCUUUCUAGUACUCCCCCUAUAUCUUUUGAGAGUAUAGUUUUUUCCUAAUAUGUUUUCUUGAAUACUUUAACAUUCUAUAAUACUGUGAACACCUAGAAAGUUAGUUAAAAUACAUUGCAUGUGCUUGCUUCAGCAGCACACAUACUAAAAUAUAUGACAGAGAGCAUUUCUCUAGGUUUUGUCAAAUCUUAACAUUUUACCAUAUUUGUUUCAGCUCAUCUUCAAUCCCAAUUCUUCCCUGCCCUUUCCAGAGUAACUAUGACAUGGACUCUUGUGCUUUUGAUUAUCAUGCAACUGCAUGUCCUGCUCUGCAGGAAAGCAAACAGUUCCAAGCUCGACCACAUGAUGGGGCUGAGACACCAACUACACAUUCGACAAACCUGGUCACUACUGAUUGACCCAGGUUACAGUCUGGUAGCUGAAAAACAACAGGAGAAGUCCUAAGGCUACUGCUAAUAUCUUAUAUUCAAGUCAGAGUAGCAUUUUCAUCAUUCAAACUUUAGGGGCUUUAGGGACCUACAGUAACAACUAGAUGAGACCCAAUUUUUAAUUAUGCCAGAAACCCUGAUUUUCAUUGGUUAAGAAAGAAAUAACUUCAAGCAUACUAGACAAGUGCUGUCUUAUUUAGCUAUAUCCUCGAGCUAUAUCCUUAUCCUUUUUUUUUUUUUUUUUAGUUUUGAGACAGGGUUUACUAAAUUGUCCAUGCUAGCCUUGAAUUUCUAUCUUACUUCCUCAACUUCCUGAGUAGCUAUGAUUAGACAUCUUCUUGAGUCUUGUCUGUUCAGGCCUUCUGCCCAUUUUUAAGUUAGGUCGUUUGUUAAGUUUUAAGAAUUCUUUGUAUAUUUUGAGUAAUAUAUAAAUAUAUCUUGUAAUAUGUUUUGUCUCCCAGUCUGUGGCUUGUCUUGUGAUUUUCUUCACAAUGUAUUUUAGACUGUAAAUUUUAUUUAUUUUUAUUUAUUUUCUUGAGACAGAGUCUCACUGUGUAAUUCAGAAUGGCCUUGGUCUCACCACGUAGCCUGGAUUGGCCUCAAAAUCGGGGCAGUCCUUUUAUAUCAGUUUCCCGAACGCUGGGAUUACAGGUGUGUGCCACUACACCUGGCUACAUUUUAUUUUUAUUUUUUGAGACAGUUUCAUUAUGUAUUUCAGCCUGACCUUGACCUUACUACAUAGCCCAGAGUGGCCUAGAACUCCUGACAAUCUUUCUGCCUGAGUGCUGAGAUUAGAUGUAUACCACCACGCCUAACAAAUUUUAAUAAAGUCCAACUUACUAACUUUUUUCAUGGAUUGUGCUUUCAAUGCUGUAGUUAAAAACUUAACCAACCAAAGGUAAGCUAGAUAUUUUUCAUAUUUUGUUCUAUAAGUUUUAUAGUUUUUCAGUUUACCUAUAUAUAUUCUCCAUUUUGAAUUAACUUUUAUUAAAGGUGUAUGGUCUGUGUCUAGGUUCUUAUUUUUGUAAGUACAUAUAAAAAUGGAUGUACAUGUCAGCACUCUUUGUUGAAAGAGUAUUAUUUCUAUUUAUUUUUUCUUGUACUGGGGAUUGAACUCAUGACCUUGCGCUUGCAGGCAGGCACUUACGCUGCUGAGCUAAAUCCCCGGUGAAAGAGUAUUAUUUCUCCACCGAAUUGUAUUUUAGUCUUUGUCAAAGAUUAGUUGACAUAUUUGGGUAUGUCUACUCUGCUCCACUGAUUACUGGAUCUAUUCUUUCAACAAUACUAUACUAUUUGGGUACCACAGUUGUAUUGUAAGCAUUGAAAUCAAGUUGAAUGAGUACUUCAACUUUGUUCUUUUUUGGAACUGUGUUGACCAUUCUGCAUUUUCUGACUGUCCAUAUAAACUUUGCAACUAA